rnacentral:rRNA from 1 species
GAUGAACGCUGGCGGCGUGCCUAAUACAUGCAAGUCGAGCGAACGGACGAGAAGCUUGCUUCUCUGAUGUUAGCGGCGGACGGGUGAGUAACACGUGGAUAACCUACCUAUAAGACUGGGAUAACUUCGGGAAACCGGAUCUAAUACCGGAUAAUAUUUUGAACCGCAUGGUUCAAAAGUGAAAGACGGUCUUGCUGUCACUUAUAGAUGGAUCCGCGCUGCAUUAGCUAGUUGGUAAGGUAACGGCUUACCAAGGCAACGAUGCAUAGCCGACCUGAGAGGGUGAUCGGCCACACUGGAACUGAGACACGGUCCAGACUCCUACGGGAGGCAGCAGUAGGGAAUAUUGCGCAAUGGGCGAAAGCCUGACGGAGCAACGCCGCGUGAGUGAUGAAGGUCUUCGGAUCGUAAAACUCUGUUAUUAGGGAAGAACAUAUGUGUAAGUAACUGUGCACAUCUUGACGGUACCUAAUCAGAAAGCAACGGCUAACUACGUG